AUGGCAGUGGGAGGUUUUGAUGGCACGACAUACUUGAAGACCAUUGAAGUUUUUGAUCCUGAUGCCAAUACGUGGAGGGAGGCCAAGGGGGCAGAUGAGAGCACCAAGGCUCGGGUCACUUGGCCUGGUGGCCACACAAUCUUUGGGAAGAUCGUCCACAAGGAAAUCCCAGCCAAAAUCAUUUCUGAGGAUGACCAGUGUCUUGCUUUCCGUGACAUUUCCCCUCAAACACCAACACAUUUUCUGGUGAUACCCAAGAAACACAUAUCCUAGAUUUCUGCAGCAGAAGAUGCUGAUGAAAGUCUUCUUAUAUAUUUAGUCAUCGUCGGCAAACAUGUGCUGCAGAUCUGGGCCUGAAGAAGGGUUAUCGAAUGGUGGUGAAUAAAGGUUCAGAUGGGGGACAAUCUGCAUAUCACGUUCAUUUCCAUGUUCUUGGAGGUCGGCAGAUGAAUUGGCCUCCUAGUUAAGCAUGUUUUAGGGAUAAUUUUCCCUUCUCUAGGCAAUGAUCAAGUUUGUAAGUUCCAAUAUGUUAAAUAACACUUACUUUUAUCUGUGUAUGGAGAGAUU